GCCGGCCUAAGGACGAUGGAUUCAACCAACGUGCCAUCGGCGGUGUGCAACGGCGGAGCGCAUAUCAGCGACGACCUCUUCCUCCACAUACUCAGCCUCCUGCCCACUGGCCGUGACCUGGCACGCACGUCGGCGCUCUCGAGGAGAUGGCGCGACCUUUGGAUGCGCGGCCGCGUCCUCCGCUUCGACAAGGUCGGAUGGAGUACCGCUGAUCCCGAUGCUGAUGUGCGGUAUAACGAUCUCGUGCAUGACGUCCUGGUGCGGCGCGCCAACAGCGGCGCCUCCGUGGACACGCUGAAGGUGAGCAGCUGGCUCUGGCCCGGCGAUGCGCGCGCCCAAGUCUGGCUGCACCGCGCCAUGGAGCUCGCGGUUGGUUCCCUAGCCUUCCACCUGCAGACGCCAGAGAGGAAGAGGGUGCCGGGGCAAACGAUGGACGAGCUGCGGCCCAGGCUGACACUGCCUAGUUCCACAGGGGCGACGUCCAUGUCGCUGGAGUUAGAUAACACUUUCCUUCUGCUUCCGCCCACGGUGGAGUUCCAUGCGCUAACGGACCUGACCCUCUGCGCCAUAAGAUUCACCGAGGUCAACGGCGGCCGCCUCAGCAGCCUUCUGUCCUCGUCCUCCUGCUGCCCGAGGCUGCAAAGGCUAACACUCAAGAAGCUGGCCUGGCUGCCGGAGCUACAGCUCAAUGGCAGUGCGCUGGAGAUCCUGCACCUGGAGGACCUGUCCGUGAGGGGGCUGCUGGAUGUGAACGCCUCACGGCUCUCGGCGCUCCACGUGGACGGCUACUUCAUGGACUGCUACACCAUGCCCCCUAACAGCCUCACCAUCCGGGCACCGGCGCUUCAGACACUCGAUCUCACCCUCAACAUCAACUAUUGCCAGAUCGAACGCCAAAGCCACGCCAUCCAACUACUGCAAGAAUGCAGUCCCAUCCAUGGCCACGUCUUAAGCAUA
rnacentral:rRNA from 1 species